UCGUGCUCUGCCCUCGCGCCCGCGAGGCACUCUUCUCAGGUUAAAGAACAGUAGUUGAACUUAAUUAUUAUCGUUUAUUUUGAGAGCAUCGUACGUUAGCGCGCACCAACUAAAAUGUAGCCUGAGCAGCACAUCGGAGACUAACAGAGGUCCUGGCGGGGAUGGUGUAAUGGUCUGGCGGAAAACACACAUGGGUACAGUCCAUGUGGGAUACAAAAGAAAAGAAGCUUAUUUAGGGAAAAACAGGAAAAUGGGUGACAUUACUUCCUGUCAUUGGGUGAGAAAAUUAUUUCUUUUCCCUCCAAGACAACAUGGAAGCUUCUCCACAAAUAUA